rnacentral:rRNA from 1 species
UACGGAGGGAGCUAGCGUUAUUCGGAAUUACUGGGCGUAAAGCGCACGUAGGCGGCUUUGUAAGUAAGAGGUGAAAGCCUGGAGCUCAACUCCAGAACUGCCUUUUUAGACUGCAUCGCUUGAAUCCAGGAGAGGUGAGUGGAAUUCCGAGUUGUAGAGGUGAAAUUCGUAGAUAUUCGGAAGAACACCAGUGGCGAAGGCGAACUCACUGGCCCGAUACUGACGCUGAGGCGCGAAAAGCGUGGGGAGCAAACAGG